rnacentral:rRNA from 1 species
AUUGAACGCUGGCGGCAUGCUUUACACAUGCAAGUCGAACGGUAACAGGUCUUCGGAUGCUGACGAGUGGCGAACGGGUGAGUAAUGCAUCGGAACGUGCCCAGUCGUGGGGGAUAACGCAGCGAAAGCUGUGCUAAUACCGCAUACGAUCUAUGGAUGAAAGCGGGGGACCGUAAGGCCUCGCGCGAUUGGAGCGGCCGAUGUCAGAUUAGCUAGUUGGUGGGGUAAAGGCCCACCAAGGCGACGAUCUGUAGCUGGCCUGAGAGGACGACCAGCCACACUGGGACUGAGACACGGCCCAGACUCCUACGGGAGGCAGCAGUGGGGAAUUUUGGACAAUGGGCGCAAGCCUGAUCCAGCAAUGCCGCGUGCAGGAAGAAGGCCUUCGGGUUGUAAACUGCUUUUGUACGGAACGAAACGGUCUGGGUUAAUACCCUGGGCUAAUGACGGUACCGUAAGAAUAAGCACCGGCUAACUACGUGCCAGCCGCCGCCGUAAGAC